AUUCAGGAAUCUCUCACCAUCUUCAAAUCUCCUACUAACCUAAAGUCUCUACAAUAAAUUGUAAAUGUUAAUAAGACUAUCAGUAUCUAAUGCUCAAAUCAUUGUAUCACAAAUUGAGAAGUUGCAAGGUGUUAUUAUACAAUUAUCUUGCCUAACGAUCGAUUGCUUUUUCUUUUUCGGCCUGUUCAGAUCAAGGGAAGUAAUGUAUUGAGGACAGUUCAUCUUCCAAUGAUCCUGCUUCUUACAGUAGAAGUACUCUAUCUGAC
rnacentral:lncRNA from 1 species